CCUACGGGCGGCAGCAGUGGGGAAUAUUGGGCAAUGGGCGCAAGCCUGACCCAGCAACGCCGCGUGAAGGAAGAAGGCUUUCGGGUUGUAAACUUCUUUUCUGAGGGACGAAGAAAGUGACGGUACCGCAGGAAUAAGCCACGGCUAACUACGUGCCAGCAGCAGCGGGAAUACGGAGGUGGCAAGCGUUAUCCGGAUUUAUGGGGGGUAAAGGGCGUGUAGGCGGGAAAGCAAGUCAGAUGUGAAAACUCAGGGCUCAACCCUGAGCCUGCAUUUGAAACUGUGUUUCUUGAGUGCUGGAGAGGCAAUCGGAAUUCCGUGUGUAGCGGUGAAAUGCGUAGAUAUACGGAGGAACACCAGUGGCGAAGGCGGAUUGCUGGACAGUAACUGACGCUGAGGCGCGAAAGCGUGGGGAGCAAACAGGAUUAGAUACCCCAGUAGUC
rnacentral:rRNA from 1 species